UACAGAGACCUCAAGCGUUAUCCGGAAUCAUUGGGCGUAAAGCGUACCGAUAGGUGGUUGAUUAAGUCUUGGGUAAAAGCCAGAAGCUUAACUUCUGAGUUUGCUAGAUACUAAUCAGCUAGAGGGGCAAAUAGGAAGCUGGAACGAGCGGUGUAGUAGUGAAAUGCGUUGAUAUCGCUCGGAACACCGAAAGCGUAGGCAGGCUUCUGGGUGCCACCUGACACUGCUAGGACGAAAGCGUGGGGAGCGAAUGGG
rnacentral:rRNA from 1 species